AAUAAAUUAAUUAGGGAACGUCCUCUAAUUAAUUACUAAUUAACAAAUUGCCAAGGAACGUCCUUGGGCCUUAGGCAUCAAAACAAUUGUCAAUUGCAUUAAGAAAGAGAGAGACCCAAUCCUAGCUACCCAAACGUAUGGAGAUAACGCUAGAUCAUGCAAUUUCCUUGGGUUCUAUCCCAAGUGUCCUCAUGUAAGAAUAAUCCAAGCAAUUACGGACUUAAAUUAUUCAAACUAACAAAUAAUUAUUUUGCAAUUAAAAAAAUCAACGUAGAUUUCAAUUACAAAAUAAUAUGAAGAUUAAAUAUGAAAUUGCAUAAAUAUUGAAUUCCCAAAAAUUAAAUAAUAUUUGAUCAAGUCUCACAACCCAUUAACCAACUAAAGUUUCAACCA
rnacentral:lncRNA from 1 species